rnacentral:tRNA from 1 species
GUGGGUUGUGGCUCAGAGGAAGAGCGCUUGCCUAGCAUGCGUGAGGCACUGGGUUCCAUCCUCAGCACUACA